rnacentral:rRNA from 1 species
AGAGUUUGAUCCUGGCUCAGGAUGAACGCUGGCGGCGUGCCUAAUACAUGCAAGUCGAGCGAAUGGAUUAAGAGCUUGCUCUUAUGAAGUUAGCGGCGGACGGGUGAGUAACACGUGGGUAACCUGCCCAUAAGACUGGGAUAACUCCGGGAAACCGGGGCUAAUACCGGAUAACAUUUUGAACUGCAUGGUUCGAAAUUGAAAGGCGGCUUCGGCUGUCACUUAUGGAUGGACCCGCGUCGCAUUAGCUAGUUGGUGAGGUAACGGCUCACCAAGGCAACGAUGCGUAGCCGACCUGAGAGGGUGAUCGGCCACACUGGGACUGAGACACGGCCCAGACUCCUACGGGAGGCAGCAGUAGGGAAUCUUCCGCAAUGGACGAAAGUCUGACGGAGCAACGCCGCGUGAGUGAUGAAGGCUUUCGGGUCGUAAAACUCUGUUGUUAGGGAAGAACAAGUGCUAGUUGAAUAAGCUGGCACCUUGACGGUACCUAACCAGAAAGCCACGGCUAACUACGUGCCAGCAGCCGCGGUAAUACGUAGGUGGCAAGCGUUAUCCGGAAUUAUUGGGCGUAAAGCGCGCGCAGGUGGUUUCUUAAGUCUGAUGUGAAAGCCCACGGCUCAACCGUGGAGGGUCAUUGGAAACUGGGAGACUUGAGUGCAGAAGAGGAAAGUGGAAUUCCAUGUGUAGCGGUGAAAUGCGUAGAGAUAUGGAGGAACACCAGUGGCGAAAGCGACUUUCUGGUCUGUAACUGACACUGAGGCGCGAAAGCGUGGGGAGCAAACAGGAUUAGAUACCCU